rnacentral:snRNA from 1 species
AUCCCUUCGGGGACAUCCGAUAAAAUUGGAACGAUACAGAGUAGAUUAGCAUGGCCCCUGCGCAAGGAUGACACGCAUAAAUCGAGCGUUUUCUUCUUCCUCU